rnacentral:tRNA from 1 species
ACAUACUAGCUCAUUGGUAGAGCAUUCGACAGUAAAUCGAACGGUAGCAGGUUCAAAUCCUGUGUAUGUG